rnacentral:rRNA from 1 species
AGGACGAACGCUGGCGGCGUGCCUAACACAUGCAAGUGGAGCGACGAACCAGGCUUCGGCCUGGGGCAGAGCCGCGAACGGGUGAGUAACACGUGGGUAACCUGCCCUGAUGAUUGGGACAACCCGAGGAAACUCGGGCUAAUACCAAAUGUGCCCUCCGGCCUCAAGGCCUGUGGGGAAAGGAAGCUUCGGCCUCCGCAUCGGGAUGGGCCCGCGGCCCAUUAGCUUGUUGGUGAGGUAAUGGCUCACCAAGGCUACGAUGGGUAGCUGGUCUGAGAGGACGAUCAGCCACACUGGGACUGAGACACGGCCCAGACUCCUACGGGAGGCAGCAGUGGGGAAUCUUGCGCAAUGCGCGAAAGCGUGACGCAGCAACGCCGCGUGGGGGAAGAAGGCCUUCGGGUUGUAAACCCCUUUCAGUUGGGACGAAGCUUCGCCGGUGAACAGCCGGCUGGAGUGACGGUACCUUCAGAAGAGCCCGGCUACUACGUGCCAGCAGCCG